UCAAAUUCUCUGCCUCUCUCAUGUAUGCUCAAUGUAAGCCAGCGCCUGGACUACCGACUAUCUAGGUACCGAAAUUUAAUCAUGAACCCGUGACAUUGAUUAAAAACUCCUACUUAAAUCUGUAAUGUGUAUUCAAUCAUUUAAUUUUUGUGUUCAAAAUAACAUACUAUAUUGAUCCCAUCCAAAAAUUUGAUGACAGGUUAACUGAUGUAUCGUCAUCGUCUAAAUAAAAAAAAGGUGAAACCGCCAAUUCAUCCAACAAAUAAUGAUCUUAUUGGUCAGUCACAUCCAAUCUGAGAGCUGCACAUCCCAAAAAAAUGAGAACGACCUGAAGCGCCAAUACCGAAUACAACGAGUGGAGAAACAAAAAUGGAACGAGAAAUUUUGGAUAGCUCACAAAACACAUUUCAUAGCGAUAUCAACUUCAAGAUUGUCUGGUUGACAGCACGCCAUCUGAGGUCGAGGGAGAAUCACCGGACCAGCCAACAUCACGCAGUACAUCUUCACAAGAUUCACUGUACACAGAAUGCAGUGCCGAUAGCGGGGGAAGCAACGCUGAUGAAUUGAAGUUCGUAAUAUCAAUCGGUACUAAGGAUUGGGAUGAGAUCCGACCUGAAGCUGUCACAUAUCCCGAUAAAAAAGCACAGGGUAAGAACAGAACAUAGAUAACAUUAAGGCGAAAGACAUGGACAAAUGUAAUUUACCAACAUUUUUG
rnacentral:misc_RNA from 1 species